AUUAACGCUGGAGAACUCGUCCAAUUUCCAUAUUAAAUUACGUUUAUCGGGGUCGGGGUCGUCAUACCAUUGUUUAGUAUGGGAUAGAGAGCGCUAGGGACGGAGAACCGGAAUUUUACACUGAUGCUUAUUUUUCUCCAACGCGUCGAAAAUCGCCUGUCGGCUACACAGGCAAUACUCGCGACGAACCUGCAAUAUUCGAUUAAGAGGAACGGUGGCAGUUUUCUAGAAAUUUUCCCCGAU